rnacentral:lncRNA from 1 species
AAUUGACUAGCAGCAUACUUGUCCAUUCCGGCAUCUUGGAUACCAUAUUUCUUAUUAAGAUCAUCCCAAAUCUCCUUGGAGGUUUUAAAAGUGCAGUAGACAUCAAAAAGGGGAUCAGUAAGAUAGGACAGAAUCCUUCCCCUACACAGGUAGUCUUUCUUCUUAAAUUCCUCCAAAUUACAAGUUCUAGCUGGUUCAUUCUCUUCCUCAUUUGGAGGAGAGUCAAAGAUUAUGGAAAAUAACCCAAGUGUGGUUAAGAAGAUUUCCAUCUUCUGUCUCCAACGCUUAAAGUUAUUUCCAUUAAAUUUUUCAGGAGGAACCGGGUCACUUGCAUUGGCCAUUGGGGUAACUCUAAGUACUAGCCUAUUAUAUGUAGGAAGAAAUCUACUUCAAGAAUGUUGGGAAAAUGCUGUCCCAGAAAAAAUUUUAAAUCUAUAAUACUCUACUUCAACAAAUAAUAGGCAGAAAUAGGCUUAGAGAAAAUAAAUAGAGAAAGUGGAAAAAUGGAACCCGAGAUGCUGAGGCGUGGUAUGUUGGUCACUUUCCUUGAAGUAGAUUUCGCCGCCUUACAGUGCACUAGGCUUGGAUGGCGUUCUACUCCUGAGAUACAACAGCCUCUCGCAAUGUUCCUUCUGCCUCAAUGAUUUGCACGGAUCAAAGAAGCUUUUGAACCCAGAAUCAGUAUGCAGCAAGCCCGUUGAUUGAAAGAAAAAUAGCAAACAGGGAGAAUAGAAGUUCUCUGCUUUCAAUUUUUUAUAUAUGUCUAUCUCCUGUCUAAUCCGAAGAGGUCUAUUUAUAGACUUCUUCGGGACAGACGCGACCCAAAACCGAUCCAACGGUCAAAACCGGUAAGAAAGUUUGAAAAAACACUGGGAGUAUGGCCAGCGGAUGCGAGGUUGGUUGCGAAGAGGUGCUAACGAGGAAGCGACGUGGCUCCUCGUGCUAAGGGUGCGAGGCACGGCCCACGCACCUCUUGGCUCAUCGUACCCGUUGUCCGACCUCGGCUCCUCUGGGCUCA